UACGGAGGGUGCAAGCGUUAUCCGGAUUCACUGGGUUUAAAGGGUGCGUAGGUGGGUCUGUAAGUCAGUGGUGAAAUCUCCAAGCUUAACUUGGAAACUGCCGUUGAUACUAUAGAUCUUGAAUGCUGUGGAGGUGAGCGGAAUAUGUCAUGUAGCGGUGAAAUGCUUAGAUAUGACAUAGAACACCAAUUGCGAAGGCAGCUCACUACCCAGAUAGUGACACUGAGGCACGAAAGCGUGGGGAGCAAACAGG
rnacentral:rRNA from 1 species